rnacentral:rRNA from 1 species
CACUUGGUGGAUGGCUCGGCUCUAUACACUGACGAAGGACGUGCCAAGCUGCGAUAAGCCCAGGUUAACCGCAAGGAGGUUUUGACCCUGGGAUAUCUGAAUGCGAUUCGUUGGCUUCGGCCAAUUCCGAAAGGAAAAGGAACGCGGAGAAGUGAAGCAUCUUAGUAGCCGCAGGAAAAGAAACCAAUAGAGAUUUCCUUAGUAACGGCGAGUAAAAGGGAAACAGAGCAAACCGAACGCCAUAAGAAAUUAUGGAUGGAUGUGGUGUAGUAGGACUUGGGUACUUCUUAACCAGCCGACUCGAAUGAGCUGGAAAGCUCUGCCUAAGAGGGUGAUAGCCCCGUAAAGGAAGGGUGGAAAGAGGAUUCCAAGUAUCCUGAAUACUGUUCCUUGGAUAUGGAGCAGGAAUCUGCCAGGCAUUAACUGGCAACUCUAAAUAUGUGUAGAGUCCGAUAGCGCACUAGUAUAGUGAUAGAAAGCUGAAAAGUACGGCGAAAGCCGGGUAAAAAGAGCCUGAAACCAAGAUGGAGUUAGUCAGCUAUGGCUCGGAAGGUGCUGCUUGAAGGCAACUAAAAGCAGCUUACAGGGUCAUAGCGUCCGUUUCGAAAUUAGAUGAAGUGUAAGUAUUGUUGUUUCUUCAUUUCCUCUAACGAAAUACACGGGGCAGGGAGUUUGUCUUAGUGGUGAGGUUAAGUGGUUUAAGCCAUGAAACCAAAGCGAAAGCAAUUGUCCGUAUCGCGAGAAUGGGACACCGUCUGAAAGGGCGGGAAAUCACUAGGGCAAGAUCCGAAGGGCGUCGAUCUAAUCCUGACCAAGGCGAAGUCUCUCGAAAGAGAGAUGGAAGCCUGCUACCGGUGAUGGGCUGACAUCCUCUCGGGUGAGUUAGGAUUAGUGGUGAAAAGCCUAACGAGACGCCGGAUAGCUGAUUCCUCCCGAAAUGCAUGUUAGUGCAGCCUCGCCAGAGCUAUGUAUUUGGGUAGAGUUACUGAUUGGAUUGUCAAGGACCGAAAGGUUCAGCUGUCCUGUCAAACUCCGAACCAGGUACAAGCGUAGAAGGCGGGAGUGAGGGUGCUGGGGUAAGCUCGGCAUCCACAAGGGGAACAACCCAACCUAAGGUUAAGGUCUCUAAAUUUUAGCUAAACGAAGAAGGGAGUUGGAAUUCUCAGACAGUAGCGCUGUAGGCUCAGAAGCAGCCAUCAGCUAAGAAAUGCGUAACAGCUUAGCUACCGAGAAUUCUGGCCCUGAAGAUGGAAGAGACUAAGCUAAAUACCGAUACCCUAGACUGCGAAAGCAGGGGUAGGGAGGCGUUCUGCAUGGAUAGAAGCUUCUGCGUAAGCAGAAGUGGACCGUGUGGAAUUGAAGAUCCUGCCAAAAGUAGCAACAGAGCUGGGUGAAAUUCCCAGUCGCCUAAACUCCAAGGGUUUGCCAGCAAUGUUCAUCAGCUGGCAGUUAGCUGAUCUCUAAAGGUACCCUCAACUGGAGUACUUGAUGGGAAACCGGUUAAUAUUCCGGUGCCAUGAAGGUACGUGUGGCAACACAAGGCAAAUUCCUGACGCUUUUGGAUGAGCUGACGCAAGUUAACUGCUGAAGCCUGCGGAGUCUUGUAAUGAGGAGAAGCAGGUGAAUGCAGGAACAGCUCUGCGUAUGCAGAGUUCGGCUGAUUCCGAGAGCCCGUGAAAAGGGAAUUUGCAAGGAUCCUUCAUGUCCAUACCGAGAACCGCCACAGGUGGAGUUGCUGAGAAGGCAAUGGUGGAGUGGGAGAACCCAAUCUAAGGAAAUCGGCAAAUUAGUGGUGUAUGUUCGCUAGAAGCCAUGCCUGUUACUUGCUAGUAGCAGGCCACAGUUACAAGGGGCAAGCGACUGUUUAACAAAAACGAUGGAGACUGCUAAAGCGAAAGCUUGAGUACAGUUUCUUAUGCCUGCCCAGUACUGGUGUGUCAAGCCCUGUUUCAACAGGAAGAAGCCCCAGUAAACGGCGGCAGUAACUCUGACUGUCGUAAAGUAGCGUAAUCCCUUGCCGUUUAAUUAACGGCCUGUCUGAAUGGCUUAACGACUUGCCCGCUGUCUUGGGUUGGUACCCAGCGAAAUUGCUUUUCUGGUGAAUAGGCCAGAGACCUCUAGUGGGAAAUUAUUGAUGUAGAAUUAUCUAUCUCGAUAACCCAAUACGUAGACCCCGUAGAGCUUUACUGCAGUCUGUCGCUGCGAUACGGUUUUGGUUGCAUAGAGUAGGUAGUACUCGCUAAGGCUUAGGCUUCGGCCGAAAGCUGAGAGGAAAGUGUAACACUACCCUUUCAAAACUGUGUUGCUUACUAGCAAUAGGACAACGUCAGAUGGGCAGUUCGGCUGGGGUGGUACUUCCUUGAGAAGAUAUCAAGGAAUCCCAAAGCUCAACUCAUCCGGGUCACAGCAAGUGCUGGUGAUGAUUAAACCAUUCCAGUAUGAAAAAAGAUGAGUAGGGAGGUAACUAAUGAACAAUAUAGGCAUUUGUUGCCCGCAAGAAAUCCGGAGUAGAGUGUAAACGCAAAAGUUGGGCUGACUGUAUCCCGAAAAGCAAGGGAUUCAGCUGCGAAAGCAUGGGUUAGCGAUACAUCGAACGGCCUUAAUGGCUGUCGGUGGUAUAAGAAAAGUUACCUCGGGGAUAGCAUCGGUGGAGUAUUUUCCAUCAUCUAUCCCAGUUGAACUGUUGUAGUAGUUCUACGGAUCGAAAAAGACGUUCAAGGCCAUAGGCUCACCAAGGUAACAUGGUAGAGUCAUCUUUACCGAUGCCCCCAAAAUGGGCCCGUGGCCGGUGAAAGCCCACAUUGACCCGGCGCGUUGGUGCGUCGUUGUCGGCUCCCCCUCUCCUGGCUGUGCAGCAGCAGCCAAGGGUACAGGUGUCCACUGGUUAAAAGGGGACGCUAGCUGGGUUCAGAACGUCGUGAGACAGUUCGGUCGCUAUCUAUUAGAGGUGUUGAUUGACUGACCGGAAGGAGGGACAAGUACGAAAGGAACAUCCCCCCGUGGCCUCUGGUGUACCUGUCGUUAUUGCGUGCAGGGCAGCUAAGCCAUACAUGGAUAAGAGCUGAAAGCAUCUAAGCUCGAAACCAUUCGGAAAA